GGAGAGGGGCAGGGCAAGGAGCAGGGGCAACAGGGAAGUAAGGAUUGGAAGGACCAAACAGAACGAGGCAUGGGGAAUGGGGAUGGAGGAAGUGGAAGGGGGGUCUAACAAAGCACUGUUACUGAAGCAGAUGACAUGAACUGAUCCGGCUGCAGUUGCAUCAGCUCUUCAUGCCCUCACCGGGAAAUGGUCCGGAGUGCCCAGCAUCCCCUGCCUAUAUACCCCCUCUGAACCAGGACACUGUGUCCUUCAGCCCCAUCGAGCUGCCUGGCUGUCCCACCGCCCUGGGG